GUGUUGUAUGAAAGGAGAGAAGGUUAGCACUCCCUUUGACAAGGAUAGAAGAGACCCUUGGGCCUUACAACAUGCAUAUGGUUAAGGCAUUGACACUUACUUUGUGGCAUCUAACCACUGUUUUUC
ensembl:snRNA